AUUGAACGCUGGCGGCAUGCCUUACACAUGCAAGUCGAACGGCAGCGGGCCUUCGGGUGCCGGCGAGUGGCGAACGGGUGAGUAAUGCAUCGGAACGUGCCAUUGAGUGGGGGGAUAACGUAGCGAAAGUUACGCUAAUACCGCAUAUUCUGUGAGCAGGAAAGCAGGGGACCGCAAGGCCUUGCGCUCUUUGAGCGGCCGAUGUCAGAUUAGCUAGUUGGUGAGGUAAAGGCUUACCAAGGCGACGAUCUGUAGCGGGUCUGAGAGGAUGAUCCGCCACACUGGAACUGAGACACGGUCCAGACUCCUACGGGAGGCAGCAGUGGGGAAUUUUGGACAAUGGGCGCAAGCCUGAUCCAGCCAUGCCGCGUGAGUGAA
rnacentral:rRNA from 1 species